rnacentral:rRNA from 1 species
AACCUUUUCAAAUCCAGGAAAGUGUGAUAAGGGAAUCCUAAGGUGUCUUGCUUUUAGCAAGACUUUUGCCAAGAGCAAAAAUCUUGGCGAAUAAGUGGUGGGCAAUACCUGUGCCAGCAGCCGCGGUAACCCAGGAACCACAAGUGGCAAUCGCUUUUAUUGGGCCUAAAGCGUCCGUAGCCGGUUCAGCAAAUUUUCUGUGAAAUCGUUGGGCUUAACCUAACGUCGUGCAGGAAAAACUACUGGACUAGAGACCGGGAGGCGUCAGAGGUAUUCCUGAGGGAGCGGUAAAAUGCUAUAAUCUCAGGAGGACCCCCAGUGGCGAAGGCGUCUGACGAGAACGGAUCUGACGGUGAGGGACGAAAGCUAGGGGAGCAAACCGGAUUAGAUACGAGAAAUCCUAGCGGAUUUCUGGAGUUAGCUCGCAAACUGUUCCAUAAAAAGCUACUUGCGAACUGAUGAUAGAAAACCUAGAUGAGGAUUUGCUCGCUAACUACCCGAGUAGUCCUAGCUGUAAACGCUGCGAGCUAGGUGUUACGUAUUCUUCGGGAAUACGUAGUGUCGAAGCGAAGGUGUUAAGCUCGCCGCCUGGGAAGUAUGGUCGCAAGACUGAAACUUAAAGGAAUUGGCGGGGGAGCACUACAAGGGGUGCGGCGUGCGGUUUAAUCUAAUUCAACACAGAGAAUCUCACCAGGAGCGACGGCAGGAUGAAGGUCAGGUUAAGGGCCUUACCCAACAAGCCGAGAGGUAGUGCAUGGCCGUCGUCAGCUCGUGUCGUAAGGUGUCAUGUUAAGUCAUGCAACGAGCGAGACCUAUACUCACAAUUGCUAACAAGCUCUGCGAUUGAGCACAUUGUGAGGACUGCCCUUGAAAAGGGGAGGAAGGUGUAGGCUACGGUAGGUCUGUAUGCUCCGAAUCUUCUGGGCUACACGCGCGCAACAAUGGUAGGGACAAUAGGAUGCAACUCCGAAAGGAGAAGCCAAUCCCCAAAACCCUAUCCUAGUCCAAAUCGAGGGCUGUAACUCGCCCUCGUGACGCUGGAAUCCCUAGUAAUCAGAUUUUAUCAGAGUCUGGUGAACAUGUCCCUG